CCUAUGGGUGGCAGCAGUGGGGGAUAUUGGACAAUGGGGGAAACCCUGAUCCAGCGACGCCGCGUGAGUGAAGAAGUCUUUCGGUAUGUAAAGCUCUAUCAGCAGGGAAGAAAGACAUGACGGUACCUGAGUACGAAGCCCCGGCUAACUACGUGCCAGCAGCCGCCGUAAUACGUCGGGGGCAAGCGUUAUCCGGAAUUACUGGGUGUAAAGGGAGCGUAGACGGUAAUGCAAGUCUGGAGUGAAAGGCGGGGGCCCAACCCCCGGACUGCCCUGGAAACUGGGUAACUGGAGUGCAGGAGAGGCAGGCGGAAUUCGUGGGGUAGCGGUGAAAUGCGUAGAUAUUAGGAGGAACACCAGUGGCGAAGGCGGCCUGCUGGACUGUAACUGACGUUGAGGCUCGAAAGCGUGGGGAGCAAACAGGAUUAGAUACCCCAGUAGUC
rnacentral:rRNA from 1 species